rnacentral:ncRNA from 1 species
CCCAGACACGGCGAUGGAUCUCCGCCGGGACAGACUUCCUGUCCGAACCGCCCCCAACGAGGCUGAUGGCUCCUUCGCAUGA